GACCAUCCUGGUCAACAUGGUGAAACCCCGUCUCUACUAAAAAUACAAAAAAUUAGCUGGGCAUGGUGGCGCGUGCCUGUAGUCCCAGCUACUCAGGAGGCUGACGCAGGAGAAUUGCCUGAAACCCAGAAGGCGGCGGUUGCCGUGAGCUGAGAUCCCGCCAUUGCACUCCAGCCAGGGAGCCUCACAUUCUCCAUGAGAAGACAUGACUAACACAUCCGCACUUGGAGAGAAAUAUGCCAAAUUAGAUUACUAAUUAGAAACUAUAAACUACAGAAUAAUAAAGCGAUAAUUUAGCCAAGAGAGAAUAACGUGAAAUAAACUCAGCCGGUGACCUAAAGCCGAGCAACAGGCACAGGCGUCCUCAGGGCCUUCUGGAUGGUCGCUUUCACCUCCUGCCUGGGCUACCGAAUCUCCACAAAGAAAAAUGAGUCACCCGACUCAAAAGGGGUGAGGGCAGAGGCUGGGACAAGGCAUGAAAACCUCAGAUAACCAAGUAAAAAAACAAAACAAAGGAAGAAAAAGCAGUAUAAUCUUUCACACCAGAACCAGCCUGCAGCCAGCCAGAUCCCCAGAGAAGAGGCCCCUCAAGGACACAUGGGGUACAUCGAUCUUGUCACCUGGAAUUUGGCAGAUCGACCAGCCCCCUACCAACCUAUCAUACAAUGGCCUGGCAGCUCUCAUCCUUCCACAGGAUUUGCUCAAUGCUGGCUCGGCAGCUGCUGCAGCCACAGUGACAAGCCCUGGGCCUCUAUGGGCUUCCUUCUUCAUCCAGGGCCAAGAUGGGCUGCCUCUCCUGGACUGAGACACAAUGAUGUUCUCUUAAACUAGAAUCAGAGCACAAGCCUACUCCAUCACCAAGAAUCAUGUCAGGGCACAAUCCCAGCCUCCUUCCUUGGGGGCUUUUAAAACACAUUUCUCUUCCCAUCUCUCUGACUCAGGUAUGUAGGUGAGAUUUGACUUUAAAGAAAGGGGAUGGAGUUGGGAGAUGAGGAAUGAGUCCCAGAACCAACUCAGCCCUCUACAACACUGUGCCCUUGUUGGGGGAGAGGCAUCCACACCUCGAACUGUUCCUGGUGAUGGAGGAAAAUGCAGGAGAAAAGGAAAAUAAACAAAAAAAAAAAGGAAC